AGUGACUGAAUUUGAUUUUUUCCAUAUGGUGCAGAUGAAAAGUUUCCACAAAAGAAAAAGCAGGUUGGAGGUGCAGAGGAAUAACCUGGGAAAAGAGAGUUAUCUUAUAUGCAAUCUUAGGUCAAGUUCAGUUUGCUUCAGGAUCUUGCCAACUUUGAUCAAGAUAGGGAACUGGUUUCGUAACUUCUGGAUGAGUGUGGUAAUUUGUGUCUAAUUUUCUUUAGAACCAGAAAGCAUUCGAGGGACUGCUGAUCUCCAGUGAAGUAAAAAGUUUUCUUUAAACUAAGCCUAGGAAGAACUUUCACAAGCAAGGGAAACAUUCUUGUCACAGCACAUAAAAUGGCUACUGUCCAAACAGUGUUAGUACUAAGUGAUUUAUGAAAAGUAAGUGUCAGCUUGCAAAAAUAUAAUACAAUCCAAUUUUUAAAACUGUUAGAGAAAGAUCCAAAAUAAAUAUAAUAGCAACCAUGAAAUGCAAA